rnacentral:rRNA from 1 species
GAGUUUGAUCCUGGCUCAGAUUGAACGCUGGCGGCAUGCCUUACACAUGCAAGUCGAACGGCAGCACGGGAGCUUGCUCCUGGUGGCGAGUGGCGAACGGGUGAGUAAUGCAUCGGAACGUAUCCUGGAGUGGGGGAUAACGUAGCGAAAGUUACGCUAAUACCGCAUAUUCUGUGAGCAGGAAAGCGGGGGACCUUCGGGCCUCGCGCUCUUGGAGCGGCCGAUGUCGGAUUAGCUAGUUGGUGAGGUAAGGCUCACCAAGGCGACGAUCCGUAGCAGGUCUGAGAGGAUGAUCUGCCACACUGGAACUGAGACACGGUCCAGACUCC